rnacentral:rRNA from 1 species
GAUGAACGCUAGCGGCAGGCUUAAUACAUGCAAGUCGAGGGACAGCACAGGUGGCAAUACUGGGUGGUAACCGGCAAGCGGGUGCGGAACACGUACACAACCUUCCUUUAAGUGGGGGAUAGCCCAGAGAAAUUUGGAUUAAUACCCCGUAAUAUAGUUGAAUGGCAUCAUUUGAUUAUUAUAGCUACGGCGCUUAAUGAUGGGUGUGCGGCUGAUUAGAUAGUUGGCGGGGUAACGGCGCACCAAGUCUACGAUCAGUAGCUGAUGUGAGAGCAUAAUCAGACACACGAGCACUGAGACACGGGCGCUACUCAUACGGGAGGCAGCAGUAAGGAAUAUUGGUCAAUGGACGCAAGUCUGAACCAGCCAUGCCGCGUGAAGGAUUAAGGUCCUCUGGAUUGUAAACUUCUUUUAUUUGGGACGAAAAAGGGCCUUUCUAGGUCAACUGACGGUACCAGAUGAAUAAGCACCGGCUAACUCCGUGCCAGCCGCCGCGGUAACAC